rnacentral:rRNA from 1 species
GACGAACGCUGGCGGCGUGCCUAAUACAUGAAAGUAGAACGCAGUUGCGAACGGGUGCGUAAGGCGUAGGUAACUGCCUCAUAGAGGGGGAUAACUAUUGGAAACGAUAGCUAAUAACGCAUACUGUGAGAUGGACCUGCGUUGUAUUGACUAGUUGGUGAGGUAAAGGCUCACCAAGGCGACGAUACAUAGCCGACCUGAGAGGGUGAUCGUCCAAACUGGGACUGAGACACGGCCCAGACUCCGACGGUAGACAGCAUUAGGGAAUCGUCGGCAAUGGACGAAAGUCUGACCGAGCAACGCCGCGUGAGUGAAGAAGGUUUUCGGAUCGUAAAACUCUGUUGUUAGAGAAGCGGUAUCUAACCAGAAAGCCACGGCUAACUACGUGCCAGCAGCCGCGGUAAUUC